GUCCAAGAAAACUCCUAUAUUUUAACUAAUAUUGCUUUAUGCAUCUCUAAUGAUGGUGACAUCAAGCAGUCUGAUGUUAAAAGUCCUUCUAACGCUAUAAACGCAUUAAAAUGGGAACGCAGGGCUUCAAUGUGUGAAAGAGAGAAAGGAACCCUCACACACAAUAAAGUGACACUAAGAGCAAACACAUGUCUGCCACCCAAGAGUGACCUCCAUGACCAGACAAAAUCUGACAACAUUUAGUGUAUGGAUAGCAACAGAUUGGACUAAGAAUCCGCAUGUCAUCUUUGAAUUUUCUUCCUCCAUAAGGACUCUCUUUAGGC
rnacentral:lncRNA from 1 species